rnacentral:rRNA from 1 species
AUUGAACGCUGGCGGCAGGCCUAACACAUGCAAGUCGAACGAGUGGCGGACGGGUGAGUAAUGUCUGGGAAACUGCCUGAUGGAGGGGGAUAACUACUGGAAACGGUGGCUAAUACCGCAUACCAUCAGCUUUGCCCAGUUGGGAUUAGCUAGUUGGUGGGGUAACGGCUCACCAAGGCGACGAUCCCUAGCUGGUCUGAGAGGAUGACCAGCCAAACGGGAACUGAGACACGGGCCAGACUCCUAAGGGAGGCAGCAGUGGGGAAUAUGGGAAAAUGGGCGCAAGCCUGAUGCAGCCAUGCCGCGGGGAUGAAGAAGGCCUUCGGGUUGUAAAGUACUUUCAGCGGGGAGGCGUUACCCGAAGAAGAAGCAACGGCUAACUCCGUGCCAGCAGCCGCGGUAAUUC